rnacentral:antisense_RNA from 1 species
ACAAGAAGGAAUCAGGAGGCAGAGCACAUGGUUAAAGCAUGAGAUGUGAAACCAGGAAGAACCAGGUCUGAACCUUAGCUCCACCAGUGGUAGCCCCAAACCUUGGUCCUUUCUGAGCCUGCUUCUUCAACCCUAAGGAACUCGGAAACGGGACCCAGAAAGUUGUUUUCUGCAAGUGGAUGGAACAACACAAGCAAUCAGUAUCCUGAAACAGGCCCUGUUCCAACAAACUGACCCAGAAAGAGGUUAUACCAAUUAUCUCUCCAGCAAGUAUGAGGACUCCUGUUUCCCUACGUACUCACUACUACAGCAAAGAUAUCAAACAUUGAUACCCACCAAUCUCUGGAUGGAAAAACAAAUCUCAGGGGCCUCACUAUUUUACCCUGGCUGGUUUCGAACUUCUGGGCUCCAGCUACCCCCAAGCCUC